rnacentral:rRNA from 1 species
ACGCUCGACACCUACGGGGGCAGCAGUUGGGAAUAUUGGACAAUGGAGGAAACUCUGAUCCAGUGACGCCGCGUGAAGGAAGAAGGUCUUCGGAUUGUAAACUUAUUUUGUCAGGGAAGAAAAAUGACUGUACCUGAAGAAAAAGCACCGGCUAACUACGUGCCUAGCAGCCGCGGUAAUCUGAGGCGGGCGUGGCGAAGGC